GCCGAGGUAGCUCAGUGGUAGAGCGAAGGACUGAAAAUCCUUGCGUCGGCGGUUCAAUUCCGCCCCUCGGCA
rnacentral:tRNA from 1 species